rnacentral:rRNA from 1 species
GUGGAUUAGAUACCCUGGUAGUCCACGCCCUAAACGAUGAUGACUAGUUGUUGGAGGAGUUAAAUCCUUUAGUAACGCAGCUAACGCGUGAAGUCAUCCGCCUGGGGAGUACGGUCGCAAGAUUAAAACUCAAAGGAAUUGACGGGGGCCCGCACAAGCGGUGGAUGAUGUGGUUUAAUUCGAUGCAACGCGAAAAACCUUACCUACCCUUGACAUGCUAGGAACUCUGCAGAAAUGCAGAGGUGCCCGAAAGGGAACCUAGACACAGGUGCUGCACGGCCGUCGUCAACU